rnacentral:miRNA from 1 species
UGGAUAAAGAAAAUGUGGUGUGUGUGUGUGUGUGUGUGUGUAUAUAUAUAUAUACACACACCACAAUGGAAUACUAUGUAUAUAUAUAUAUAC